rnacentral:rRNA from 1 species
CCCUUAGAUGUUCUGGGCUGCACGCGUACUACAAUGGAACUCGCAUCGAGUCGCGAAACUGAGAAGUUAAGCGAAUCUUGGAAUGUGUUCCGUGACCGGGACAGUUGAUUGCAAUUAUUCAACUCGAACGAGGAAUUCCUUGUAAUCGUGAUUCAUCAUAUCGCGAUGAAUACGUCCCUGCCCUUUGUACACACCGCCCGUCGCUCCUACCGAUUGAAUGGUCCGGUGAAGCCUCCGGAUUGGCGCGCACCUCGGUGCCGCCGAGAAGUUGGCUAAACCUUACCAUUUAGAGGAAGGUGAAGUCGUAACA